rnacentral:misc_RNA from 1 species
AACGCACAUUGCACCCUCUGGUAUUCCGGGGGGUAUGCCUGUUCGAGCGUCAUUUCAACCCUCAAGCUCAGCUUGGUAUUGGGUGUCACCAGACAAUGGUGCACCUCAAAAUUAGUGGCGGUGCCGUCUGGCUUCAAGCGUAGUAAUUCUUUCGCUUUGGAGGUUUGGAUGUGUGCUUGCCAUCAACCCCUAAUUUAUCAAAGGUUGACCUCGGAUCAGGUAGGGAUACCCGCUGAACUUAA